rnacentral:rRNA from 1 species
CCUACGGGAGGCAGCAGUGAGGAAUAUUGGUCAAUGGUCGGGAGACUGAACCAGCCAAGUCGCGUGAGGGAGGACGGUACAGAGUAUCGUAAACCUCUUUUGUCAGGGAACAAAGACUGGGACGCGUCCCCGGAUGAGUGUACCUGAAGAAAAAGCAUCGGCUAACUCCGUGCCAGCAGCCGCGGUACUACGGAGGAUGCGAGCGUUCUCCGGAUUUAUUGGGUUUAAAGGGUGCGCAGGCGGUCUGUUAAGUCAGCGGUAAAAGCUCGGGGCUCAACCCCGGCGCGCCGUUGAAACUGGUGGUCUCGAGUUGGAGAGAAGUAUGCGGAAUGCGCGGUGUAGCGGUGAAAUGCAUAGAUAUCGCGCAGAACUCCGAUUGCGAAGGCAGCAUGCCGGCUCCACACUGACGCUGAGGCACGAAAGCGUGGGUAUCGAACAGGAUUAGAUACCCCUGUAGUC